rnacentral:rRNA from 1 species
GACGAACGCUGGCGGCGUGCUUAACACAUGCAAGUCGAACGGAAAGGCCCUGCUUGCAGGGUACUCGAGUGGCGAACGGGUGAGUAACACGUGGGUGAUCUGCCCUGCACUUCGGGAUAAGCCUGGGAAACUGGGUCUAAUACCGGAUAGGAGCCAUUUUUAGUGUGAUGGUUGGAAAGUUUUUUCGGUGUAGGAUGAGCUCGCGGCCUAUCAGCUUGUUGGUGGGGUAAUGGCCUACCAAGGCGGCGACGGGUAGCCGGCCUGAGAGGGUGGACGGCCACAUUGGGACUGAGAUACGGCCCAGACUCCUACGGGAGGCAGCAGUGGGGAAUAUUGCACAAUGGGCGCCAGCCUGAUGCAGCGACGCCGCGUGGGGGAUGACGGCCUUCGGGUUGUAAACUCCUUUCGCUAGGGAAGAAGCUUUUUGUGACGGUACCUAGAUAAGAAGCACCGGCUAACUACGUG